rnacentral:rRNA from 1 species
UUGACAUCCAGAGAAUUUAGCAGAGAUGCUUAGUGCCUUCGGGAACUCUGAGACAGGUGCUGCAUGGCUGUCGUCAGCUCGUGUUGUGAAAUGGUUGGGUUAAGUCCGCAACGAGCGCAACCCUUAUCCUUUGUUGCCAGCACGUAAUGGUGGGAAACUCAAAGGAGACUGCCGGUGAUAAACCGGAGGAAGGUGGGGAUGACGUCAAGUCAUCAUGGCCCUUACGAGUAGGGCUACACACGUGCUACAACGGCGCAUACAAAGAGAAGCGACCUCGCGAGAGCAAGCGGACCUCAUAAAGUGCGUCGUAGUCCGGAUUGGAGUCUGCAACUCGACUCCAUGAAGUCGGAAUCGCUAGUAAUCGUAAAUCAGAAUGUUACGGUGAACACGUUCCCGGGCCUUGUACACACCGCCCGUCACACCAUGGGAGUGGGUUGCAAAAGAAGUAGAUAGCUUAACCUUCGGGAGGGCGUUUACCACUUUGUGAUUCAUGACUGGGGUGAAGUCGUAACAAGGUAGGCGUAGUGCU